CUUGUAAACUAGUGAACACUUUUUGCGAGAGUGAUCACGAAUUUCCUUGUUGACCAUAGUAGAUUGCGAGACAAAUGAAUACCCUCUAGCGAUUAUGUUCCUCAUUCAUCAGAAAAAUAUUUAUUUGUGGAUUAAUGGAAAGCUGCAAAGAAGUGCACCAAUCAACUCAUAAAUCAUAAAACAGCUUGUUGACUUCAUCUUUGCAUCACCCAGCUUAUUGAUUCAUAUGACUCUUUAUUCUAACAGAUGAAAUUUUAUCUUGGCUUGACAUAUGAAGCUAUCAAAACUCGAAAUUUUCAGAGUGUGGAAUAUGGCAUGUACAAGACUGUUACAAAUGUUAUUUACAUUAUAGAAAACAAUUUAAAUGCCCUGAGAGGUGCUUUAAUAAUAAAAACAAAGACAUUUUCAGCAGACAUAAACAUCUAAUGAUGAUCAAAUAUUUUCUUGAAUGUAUCUGUUCUAUUCUUUGGAAUUGAACUUCUCACUACCUCUCACCAAUCUAAAUAUUUUUGUUCCAGAAGUAAUGGAUUGAUCUUGAAAAGGAUGUUGGGAAGGAGUUGCCAGUGUCUAACUUUAUCUGCGGACAUCACCACCACAAUGCUUUACAAAUAUUUCUUUUCUUCAUGUAAAACUCUUUUCAGAAAUUUUCUUGUAUCAUCUCCCAAAAUGAUGUUUGUCUUGGCUUUGAUCCCCUGUUACAUUUCAUGUACUAAGAUGACAUUGAAUGUGAUGCUACAUUUUGUCUUGCUUCUCAGGCGACUAUGCUGGUUUCCCUGGGUGUGGUCUUCUUCGUCUCCAUAGCACCUAUCGCCAUGACCUCAAGAUUUAUGCAUCGGAUGAGGGGCGUGUCCAGAUGACCGCUGCUGCUUUCACAAAGGGAAUGUUGGCUUUGGAGGGAGAGCUGACUCCUAUCCUGGUCCAGAUGGUUAAGAGUGCUAAUACAUCGGGUCUCCUGGACCAUGAGAAGGAAUCAGUUACCAUCCAAGGAAGGGUGAAAGAAAGACUUUGUGAAAGUUUCAGUAAAGACCGAUCUUUUGGUCCAAGGGACUUGAAUGAGCUUGCUCCUACUGGAAGUAAGUCUUUACUAGACUCGUUGAGUUACAUCAAGAAUCCUGUACGUAUGUGUGAGAAGGUUCAUCGGGUCAUCAAGAACCACACCAAGAUGAUCAAAGACACCAUGGAAAACCCUGAAAACAAAGAAUUGGUAUUAUAUCAUCACGAGAACUUGGAGCUGAUGCUGAGACGGUGGGUGAAACUGGAGAAAGACUUCAAGCUUAAGACUGGCCGCUAUGAUAUCACCAAGGUGCCUGACAUCUAUGAUUGCAUCAAGUAUGAUAUGCAGCAUAAUUUCAUCCUUAAAACAUUUGGAUUCACCCACAUGGAUGAUCUCUACAACUCAGCAGAAAUGUUGGCUGAUUUUGUGAUACCACAGGAGUAUGGCAUAACAACCAGUGAGAAGCUUGAAAUUGGGAAGGGUAUCUGUACCCCUCUUCUGAAGAAGAUCCGCUCGGACCUUCACCGCAUCAAUAGCAAUGAAGAAACUACCUACCGUCUCAAUCCUCUCUACUCUAAGGGUGUGAUGUCACCUGAUAGACAAGUCCGCACCAGACUAUACUUCACCAGUGAGAGCCAUAUUCACUCCCUUCUAUCCUGUCUCCGCUAUGGUGGACUUUGUGAUGAAUCUGACCCUAACUGGCAGAACUCUUGUGAGUACCUUGGUGGGAUCCGAGAGCUCAACUACAUGACCCAAAUAGUGUUGAUGCUGUAUGAAGAUCCUAGCAAGGAUCCCUUUUCUGAUGAUCGGUUCCGGGUGGAGAUUCACUUUAGUCCUGGAGCCAAAGACUGUGAGGAUGAUGAGAACCAUCCAGGAUGCUGCCCAUUUAGAUCCGUCCAUAACUCGGGAAACGCUUCACCCUAUGAAAACAACUCUGAUGAAGAUGAACCUUCAAGCUGCAUCGAUUCAUCAGAAGAUGAUUGCUUUGAUCAUAAAUCAAAGAAAGGUGAAGGAAAGGACAAGGUCACACCUCUUAUCAAGGUUGCAGGCAAAGAUAAAAAGAUUGGUGGAGGGGCUUCUUUAGCGUCAGGAGUUACUGUUUUUGGAAAACCCUUCCUUCGACUCCCCCAAAUGAUGAUCCCCAGUGAUGCUAAAGCAGCCGAUCAGAGCAAGCCAGUAGGAACCCCACCAUCAUCCUUUCUCUCUGCUGGUUUUGAUGACUUGGUGGGAGGAAUUGCUAUGACAAGUAAUACAGAUGAUGAUCAUUUGAAAGUAACUAUCCCUGAUAGACCUAAUCUUCCUAAUGUAAGAAGCGCCCCUGAGCUCCAUGAUCCAAAUUGGUAUUUCAAUGAUGAUAUUCUUAUGAGACGAGCUUCAACAUACUCUGCUGCACAUCAAGGUCUAGAGCAUCAUAUACAAGUCACAUCGAUAAGACCCCUAGAGACUUUGCACAACUCGUUAUCUCUCCGUCAAGUUGAUGAAUUCCUGGCACGAAUCACUCGUGAUGGUGCUGCCACUCCGGAUUGCCAUACACCUCGCAGCAGCAUGAAUCUCAACACCUACACACCGCAGCGUGUCAAACCACUCCAUCUGUCCAAUCGCGAAUCUGACGGCUCCUCCUACUACAGUCGAUCGGCCAGUAAUAGUAACCCAUCAUCUAAUGUCUCCAGUGCAUUGCCAUCCCCAACUGAGAAUUCUGGAAAGAACUUCGAUUUCUCACUCUUCCUUGAGAGCAUCAAAUCACAGCGUGUGUGUCGUGAAUCAGAAUCCGGACAGGAAGACUACUUCGCCAGCGAUGAAGGACACCAUGAAGAAAGCACCAAAGAUGACAUCCAACUAAUGGCAAUGCCCACCUUUGAUGAUGACCUCGUUACACCAAUCUCAUGCUGCUGUAAGUCACAAACUUACUCUAGCAGUGUGGCCUCCAGCGUCAAAGAGACAACUUCAAAGUGGAAAGGUUCAGAGAUACCAAUCACUCAGAAGUCUGAAGAGGACGAAGGUUCUUCUGUAGAUCCUCAGGAGGAAACGUUGUGCAGUGGAGGUGAUGGGAGUGGAGAAGUUGUCACAGAGGAAGAGGUAUCAACACCAUGUGCUAGUACAUCUAGCAAUGCUAGUCAGCCUGGUACAACAGCAUUUGAGUUCCCUCCAGAGACAUCCAUAGAUCACCAAAGUGAUGACUUGCAAUAGUGUCUUAAGCCAUGUUUUGCUUCCAUGAGAAUGGGUAAUUUUAUUAUAUGUAAAUAAAGGCUUGAUCAACCAUUCAGCAACAAAGCUCAGCAACAUUUGGUGUACAAAAUUAAAUAAAUCCAACUUACGAGGUGCGCAAAAUGUGCAAAACGAGAUUUAUUCGAGUUGCCUGGAUCCAGUUAAGUGCCAAAUAAUCCAAAGUUGCAAAGACAUAAUCAAGACGUCCCGACGAGUGCCAAUUUUAGAUUUCAUGUGUGUUAUUGAGUGUUUACAUAAAAGUUGGCCAAUUUGUCUUGCACCAUCGUAACAUUGAAAGUGUUCCUGAGCUUUGUUGUGCCAUGCUUGAGCCACGAGUCUUAAAACCACCUAACGUUAAUCAGAGCUGCCAACUAUUAGGAAAAAGGAGUAAUUUUUAAGGAUUUUCACACCUAAUUACGCCAUUACGCUUUUCAGCGCCAAUAGCUUUGUACACAGAUAAUACAUUGCACAGUUGCAAACUCAUCCGAAGGCAGCAAAUACUGCCAUUGCAUGCAUGAUUGCGUCGCUUUGUUUACAUUGCUGCGCAUGUGAUGAUUGUCUAGGCCAUUGCCGGGCAGCGGCGAAUGUUCGUACCGUAGAUUGCGUGCAUUUCCUAUGGAAAAUUAUUGCAUGAAUCCAUAUCCAUGCACGUGCGCACAAAUAGGAAGUUAUCUAUCCAUGUUCCCAAUGCAACAAAAAAAUCACCGUACCGGGAUAUGAGGAUUGUUACAAUAGGCGCUGAUCA